rnacentral:lncRNA from 1 species
GGUCUCAGUCCUACCCGAAGAUCGGUCUAUGAGCUCUGAGCUCGCUCCGUAAUGGGGAAGACUGGCUGGGUGACCAGCAGACGACCGAGGUGAAUUACACACACACGUGAAGUGUUGCUAUAUCACCGACAGAUUUCAAGCAGUGCCAAUCACCAAUCACCAUGCGGCAAGACAAGCAGUGCAAUUGCACGCCUUCACCAAACCUGCACACUGCCUUAUCUUCAUCAAUUAAAGGCUCAGACGUGAAGACAGAAGUAAUAGAAGAAAGAAGGAGAAAUAAAGGAAGAGUGCGAAAAUGAACGAGAAAUAGAGGCGGAAUAGGAUAAGGAGCUAAGAUGGAAUAUUUAGAUAGACCUACAGACGACCCCCGCACAGAAGACCAACGACUUAUGUGCCUCAGACAGUCGGUUCUCCUACGGCGGUGUCAAUGGCAUCUCGAAGCAGUACAUGUGUGACGGCUUCAGUGACUACUGCAGCAACGGAGAGGAUGAGUUUGUACAGGUGUGUGGCAUUGACGAGUGCCGGGAGAAGGAUGUCGGGUGUGUGUGCAUCAACACUCGAGAGUCAUACUGCUACUACCGCCAGUGCCGGCCAUGCAGGAUACAGACUCGUCAGGAAGUUCAACUGUGAAGACGUUGACGAGUGUGUGGAUUGGCCUAGAUCCUCUCCCAGUUGACCAUCCCCUCAGUAGUGUUCCAUCCGCCCAGCAGCAGCAACGUCAAGUCCCCAAGCUGGCAUGGUGAGGGUUGUUGUGCUGUGCUCCCUUGGGAUUUCUUUGCCUAGCUGUUGGGAGGUUUGUCGGGUUCCUGAAGAUGCGUUGACGUGUUAUCAUCCACGCAAGCUUCCCCAACCCAGCCAGUGUACCAGAAGACAAACAGACACUGAGGAGGACGGGAGGAGGAAGCGAGCGGCUGCAUGCACCAUUCAACAGGAUGGCAUUGUAUUCACCCCACAGGGGUGACUACAGCGAAGCAAGCCCAGAAUAAAGUGUUGAGCGACCGUGAUGACUUAUUGCUGUUGACGCCAUUUCAAUAUUGUUCCACCUCUUGUUCGAAGAGUCAGUACUACUAACACCAAAGAAGUGAGGGAAGUGUUUGGAGUGAACGUGCAAGACAUACAACAGACACCAGACUGCUGCUGCUGCUACUGCUACUGCCGGUGUAGCCAAAGGAACAAAAGGAGCAGGAGGAAGAAGACGGUGAUUCUUGGAGACGUAGCAAUGAAGUU